rnacentral:rRNA from 1 species
UACGAAGGGGGCUAGCGUUGCUCGGAAUUACUGGGCGUAAAGAGCGCGUAGGCGGCUCGUUAAGUGUGAAGUGAAAUCUCUAGGGCUCAACCCAGAAACUGCUUCGCAUACUGGCGAGCUGGAGUGAUGAAGAGGUUUGUGGAAUUCCUGGUGUAGCGGUGAAAUGCGUUGAUAUCAGGAGGAACACCGAUGGCGAAGGCAGCAAACUGGUCAUCAACUGACGCUGAGGCGCGAAAGCGUGGGUAGCAAACAGG